AAAAGAUGUUACUUUUUUUUUGUAGGCUAUCUUAAAACCUGUAUCAUAAUAUAAUUGGAACCAUUUUAAUCUCAGCAUUAAAAGAAAAAAAUCAUUGUCAACUAAUAAGAAAGGUGAAAGAGAUUAAAUUAAGACUUAUGAAUAAAGAAAAAUUAGAGACAGGAGCAAUGAAAAUAACAACCAAGCAUACUAAAAAAAUGGUUGCUAGAAGAGAAUUUGGUAUGCACAAAAGAUGACAAAUCAAAAAAACUUGUAACUAUGAGAAGAGAAAGAUAUAAUAAUAUGGUAAAAAAAGUUAUUAAAGAAAUAGGUUCCAUCCCUCUAGAUAAAGACACUACAAAGGAUUUGUAAAAAAGAACAUUCAGUCUUCUAAAGAACCAAGAUUUAUCACAGUUUCUAAAAAACUCAAAGUUAGUGGCAUCAGCAUGUCCCUGCAUGUUCAGCUUUGUCAAACUCCAUAAAACUCCAUUGAAGAUUUGCUUGAUCAUGGAAAAAAUAAAAAUCCAACCUAUAUCCUUGAAAAGAACUUGGCAAGAUUGUGCAGAGGCAACAUGCAAGGCUAUGGACUCAUAACUACGUCAUUCUCAACCUUUGUUAAUGAUUUAAGUAAUAAAGACCCCUUCCCCUAUGAAAUGUUAACAGUAUAUGACUUUGAAUCUCUAUAGUCAUCUAUAUCCAUAGAACCAGCUAGCAUACAGACUAAUGACAGAGCAUUUGAAAAAUUCUGAAAGAAGUACCAAGUGUAUCAAAGAAAUAUGUGAUUUGGUGUAUAAUCAAUCAUACUUUACAUUUCAUGGUGAGUAUUAUAAACAAAAAACAAGACGUCCCUAUCAGAAAUCCAAUGGUAGUUAUAUAUUAGCUAAACUAGUGAUCAAGGAAGGAAGUGUAAUACUAAGAUUCGUGACAAGAAUAAAAAAAAUAUAAAAUAUACUUGGAUGAUAUUUGUGUAAUAUGAGAAAGGCAGGAUGACCCAAAAGUUCUAGAAGAGUUUAUGUUGGACAAUACACUAGGACUCCAUUUAAUAUUGGAUCAUGGAAGCACUAGGAAGAUAAACUUCUUAGAUGUUCAAGUAAAAAUAAAAGGAGGCUCUUAUAAAACUAAAGUAUGCCACAAACUGACCUACAUAACAUUGUUUAUACCAAGCAUGUCAACAGCCAAACUGAUUCAUAAAGCAUCUGUCUUUAGAACCCUCUUUUGAAGAGUCUUUACAUAUUGCAGUACAAGAGUAGAUAGAGACACAGAAAUAGACAAAAUCACAAGGAAAAACUCAGGUAAAAUAACAGUUUUCUGAAAAAAUACUAUCCUCUAUAAUAAAAAGUUUGAACUCAAAGAGGAAAAAACCCCACUGAAAGAUGUCAGAGAUAGAAGCAUUGAUUAUCAAUCAUACUUACAAACUGUUUAUAGAAACAUAGAAAAUGCUACAAGUUUUAAAAUAGCAUAUAAAAUGAAAAGUAUUA
rnacentral:lncRNA from 1 species